CCCUCUCUACAGGAGACUAUCCUUGUUUGGGCAUGAGUGGGAAGCGGGCGGCUUCGUGGGAACGGCGGCAUUCGUCGUUCCUCCCCACGGGGAGUAUUCGAGAAGUAGGGUCCUGGGUAGGGGGAGAAAUCAGAGGAAAUGAGAACGGGAAUUCUCGUUUCUCCUCAGAGUUGGACGACCCACUCGCAUUUCUCCUUUUUGGGAGGUUCGCCCAUAACUCGGCACUAGCGGGGAAUGACCCGGAGAGCGCGCGAGUUCACGGCCGAGUCUGGCGAGCGAGGUGGAACGUUUGGUCCGCCCGGGUGCAGGACGCUGGGGCCAGGCCUCCUGCUGCGGAGGAGGAGGAGGGAGAAGAGGCCGAGCGGGAGGGGCUUCUGACACGUGUCACUGUUUUUGUUUCCAAAGAAGGGUACUUAAACCCGAAACUAGCAAUCCCAGGCGGUGCAGGGCCCUCCACUGUAGGCAAAGCAUCACUUGAAUGUAGAUGUGGGAACCAUACGUUUGGAUACAAAAUAUGAGAGUAUGUUCCAAUCAACUUUUACUGAUUACUGGACAACUAUUUUGAGAAUUUGCAGACUGAAGCCCAUCUAUAAAUGUCAAGUUAAACAUGUCCACUUUCAGAGAAGAGAAAUGCCAACAACCGUUUAGUCUCUGAGGACAACACUUUUAAAGAGCUGGAAAGGUACAUUUCCUCUUCAUGUGUUUUCACUUCCACCCUUUGCCCUGGUGAGAAGACAUUUUCCUUCCGUACACUCAUCAGUCCAAAAAGAAUCAAGGCUUCUGAACAUUUUGCAGCAGCCUUUCCUGGCCAUGGUGGCCUGAAGUGCACCUUUUAUAUAGGACUCCACCACAGGAGAGAGGUUGGAUGCCAGAGUGAUUGAUGUGCUCCUACUGGAAGAAGGCAAACAUCCAUAUGUGAACUGCCUGUGGGGUUUCCAAUGAAAGGAACAGCAGGUGGCCUCUAUGAGCUUGAAGAAGUCCCAGCCAACACUUAGCAAGAUAGAUGAGACUUUAGUUCUAUAUCCACAAGGAACUGUAUUCUGUAAGCCAUCUGAAAAGCUUGGAAGAGAACCCCAAACUCCAAAUAAGAAGUUCAGUGUGUCCAACACUUUGA